rnacentral:piRNA from 1 species
AGCAGGGAGCUUCAGAUGGGAAGAAGUCA